UCCUUUCCUUCCUCACCUGUUACGUGUGUACGACGUGCCUUGCGUGCCUUGGGUCAUGUGACCCGACUACCCAAUCAGUAAACUUUAUAAGCCGCUACCCCGGAAGCUAUCACAUUCCAUGACAGGAGAGCUGGAUUGAGACGCUACGGGAGCCAACUGCCAGUAUAACACGCCGCGAAUAAGCAGCAUAUUUGGUGCACUUAGUCGCAAUCGGCCAUAGGGAUUGAUGGCGAGCUAAGCCUGAACCUGAUCAAGCGCUGGAGCUCUCUGAAGGAAUCACCUCCUCCCUGUCGUUCAGCCCAGGCUGGUAGGAGGCUCCUGUAGCCUAAUGACUCAUUUAAUCAAUGCAACUGCAUUCGUCCUACAACCCAGAGACACAAAGACUUUCAAUCACUUCCCAUCACUGAACACUAACCUCCGGAUUCAACUAUUUCUGUCUGGGUUGCAUGGACAAUACAUGAGCUGAUGAUAUUGAGUCGGAUACGACGGAUCACUCACUGAACCGUCCAUCUGUACAUAAUCUUUGUAAAGGAUAUCCUGGAAUAAUUUGAAAUAUUCUUUUGUAAUAUUGGUGUAUGGUGUAUGUUUAUGUGUGUGUCAAAAAAUACAUGGUACCAUUCAUAGCAAACCUACAGUCUCCAGUCUCUGCCUCCUCUCUCCCUGAGCCGUCCCUGUUCUUCUGACUCUAGUCCACGAUAGAUAUGCUACAUUAGUUUGGGGGUAUGAGGGGCUGUAAGCUUGCAGGAGAAUGUAAACAAAGGGAUGAUGGGAAGUGGGGUCAGGCUUACUCCUCGCCAUUGGUCCCACCCAGAUUUCAGAGGUGAAUUUCUAAUCAAUUCCUGUCACUCUGCCAAAACGCUCAUUUUAAAAAAUACUUUUUUUUUGUGGUGAAAUUAAAAACAUAUUUAUGAUUAGAAGAC